AGUGAACGCUGGCGGUAGGCCUAACACAUGCAAGUCGAACGGCAGCACAGUAAGAGCUUGCUCUUACGGGUGGCGAGUGGCGGACGGGUGAGGAAUACAUCGGAAUCUACUUUUUCGUGGGGGAUAACGUAGGGAAACUUACGCUAAUACCGCAUACGACCUACGGGUGAAAGCAGGGGAUCUUCGGACCUUGCGCGAUUGAAUGAGCCUAUGUCGGAUUAGCUAGUUGGCGGGGUAAAGGCCCACCAAGGCGACGAUCCGUAGCUGGUCUGAGAGGAUGAUCAGCCACACUGGAACUGAGACACGGUCCAGACUCCUACGGGAGGCAGCAGUGGGGAAUAUUGGACAAUGGGAGCAAGCCUGAUCCAGCCAUACCGCGUGGGUGAAGAAGGCCUUCGGGUUGUAAAGCCCUUUUGUUGGGAAAUAAAAGCAGCAGGUUAAUACCCCGCUGUUCUGACGGUACCCAAAGAAUAAGCACCGGCUAACUUCGU
rnacentral:rRNA from 1 species